AUUGAACGCUGGCGGCAGGCUUAACACAUGCAAGUCGAGCGGAGAGAGGUAGCUUGCUACCGAUCUUAGCGGCGGACGGGUGAGUAAUGCUUAGGAAUCUGCCUAUUAGUGGGGGACAACAUUUCGAAAGGAAUGCUAAUACCGCAUACGUCCUACGGGAGAAAGCAGGGGAUCUUCGGACAUUGCGCUAAUAGAUGAGCCUAAGUCGGAUUAGCUAGUUGGUGGGGUAAAGGCCUACCAAGGCGACGAUCUGUAGCGGGUCUGAGAGGAUGAUCCGCCACACUGGGACUGAGACACGGCCCAGACUCCUACGGGAGGCAGCAGUGGGGAAUAUUGGACAAUGGGCGCAAGCCUGAUCCAGCCAUGCCGCGUGUGUGAAGAAGGCCUUAUGGUUGUAAAGCACUUUAAGCGAGGAGGAGGCUACUCUAGUCAAUACCUAGAGAUAGUGGACGUUACUCGCAGAAUAAGCACCGGCUAACUCUGUGCCAGCAGCCGCCGUAAUAC
rnacentral:rRNA from 1 species